UUGAAGAGUUUGAUCAUGGCUCAGAUUGAACGCUGGCGGCAGGCUUAACACAUGCAAGUCGAGCGGUAACAGGAGUAGCUUGCUACUCGCUGACGAGCGGCGGACGGGUGAGUAAUGCCUAAGAAUCUGCCUAGUGGUGGGGGAUAGCCCGGGGAAACCCGGAUUAAUACCGCGUACGCCCUUCGGGGGAAAGCAGGGGAUCUUCGGACCUUGCGCUAUUGGAUGUGCCUAUGUCGGAUUAGCUAGUUGGUGGGGUAAAGGCCUACCAAGGCGACGAUC
rnacentral:rRNA from 1 species